CGUACUUUCUGCUUCAGCUCCCCCAGGAAGAGGGGGAGGGGUGAAGUCGGUUUAGAGGUUCGAUCUUGCCUUUUUCCCUUCCGGGAGGAGGAUGGAAGAGGUAGGGGAGGCUUUGCCAGAGAGACAGUGCUGCUCGCUGCUGGAGCGAUCCUGGGCUACAGCUGCCCUGGGUCUCCAGGCGGAUUGCCUUCCAUCCUCCCGAGAGGGGAAGACGGCUGCGGGAAUGGGGAAGAGGGAAGCAGGCGCUUUUCCUCCAGGGUCUGCAAAUCAACAUCCCGCUCACCCAUCCCGAAUGCUGCGCCUGCAAACUUUUCCUAGCUUCUGGAGGGAGUGAGAAAGGAAGAGCAGGAGAAACAACAAAUCGCGACUACAAGUUGAAUUUCCUUUGGCUGCUGCUGGCCUUUACAGUCUGACUUCCUGAUUAGCGUCUCUCUACGUGAAGAUACUGAAAUCGCCUUCUCCUUCCAUCUCCCCAAACUUACCCACAGCUGUCUCCAGCCAAGAACUUGGAGAGGAAGAAGAGUUGCAAGUUUCACCCCCAGGAACCGCGAGGCCAGUCUGCACUCCUGCGUGUUUUUGGUGUGAAACUAUAAAGAAUUGCACGGGGCAUGGCAGGGGGCAGAUGACAUCAAUCUUGAAGCGAUUCUCCACUUAUGUGACUGUUGACUCCACCAAGAAAUAAAGAGUGUUUUCAAAACUACCCUGUGGGUGAAGGCUAACUGGAGCUGCUAUGAAGCCUUUUAUGAUGUGGAACCCACUCUGAAUUGACAACUCAAACCUGGUGUACUUUGGUCCAGAAUCCAGAAAAUACCCAGCAAGCAGUGUGCCUCUCUCUUUGUGCCUUGGACUAUGUGGAUCACCACAAACUGUUCAAAAUUCUGAAAGAGAUGGGUACCAGACCACCUGACCUGCCUCUUGAGAAACCUGUGUGCAGGUCAGGAAGCAACAGUUAGAACUGGACAUGGAACAACAGACUGUUUCCCAAUAGGAAUAGGAGUACAUCAAAGCUGUAUAUUGUCACCCUGCUUAUUUAACUUAUAUGCAGAGUACAUCAUGAGAAACGCUGGACUGGAAGAAGGACAAGCUAGAAUCAAGACUGCCAGCAGAAAUAUCAGUAACCUCAGAUAUGCAGGUGAUAUCACACUUAUGGCAGAAAGUGAAGAAGAACUAAAGAGCCUCUGGAUGGAAGGAGAAUGAAAAAGUUGGUUUAAAGUUCAACAUUCAGAAAACGAAGAUCAUGGCAUCUGGUCCCAUCAUUUCAUGGCAAAUAGAUGGGGAAACAGUGAGAGACUUUAUUUUUGGGGGCCCCAAAAUCACUGCAGAUGGUGACUGCAGCCAUGACAUUAAAAGACACUUACUCAUUGGAAGAAAAGAUCGACCUAGACAGCAUAUUAAAAAGCAGAGACAUUACUUUGCCAACAAAGGUCCAUCUAGUCAAAGCUGUGGUUUUUCCAGUACUCAUGCAUGUAUGGAUGUGAGAGUUGGACCAUAAAGAAGGCUAAGUGCUGAAGAAUUGAUGCUUUUGAAUUGUUGGAGAAGACUCUUGAGAGUCCCUUGGACUGCAAGGAGAUCCAACCAAUCUAUCCUAAAGGAAAUCCUGAAUAUUCAUUGGAAGGACUGGUGUUGAAGCUGAAACUCCAAUACUUUGGCCACCUGAUGCAAAGAACUGACUCAUUGGAAAAGACCCUGAUGCUGGGAAAGGUUGAAGACAGGAGGAGAAGGGGACGAUAGAAUUAGAUGGUUGGAUGGCAUCACCGACUCAAUGGGCAUGAGUUUGAGUAAAUUCUGGGAGUUGGUGAUGGACAGGGAAUCCUGGCAUGCUGCAGUCCAUGGGGUUGCAAAGAGUCGGACUCGACUGAGCGACUGAACUGAACUGACUGAAAUGUUUAACGACAAAAAAUGUUUCAUAUGUGGUCUGGUGAAAUUGCUGUGAAGUGUUCAUUCCUUAAAUAUAUUUCUGUGUGUAUUUUCAUGGUCCAGGAGUCACUAACGUAAAGCAGAUUUUUAACAGACCCUGUACAUUUGACACCACUGUCAUGGGACUAAUGCAUAAUGAUGUAUCCAUAUAUGAUCAGUGAUAUAAUCAUUUGAUGUACAUGUUAAUGUUUAGUAACUUAUACCCAGAAACUAGUGAUAUUAUAAACUGAUUUUCCAAAAUCAUGAUAUAGUGAUUGGAACAUUGGAUUAACUCUCAGGAAAAUUAGAUCUGGUUAACAACUCUGGACCUCAGUUUCAUUAUCUCAGAAAAAUUGUAUUUACCUUGUCUACUUUUUAAGGUUGGAAAGAAGCAUCAAAGAAAAAAAAGAUAGAGCCUCUUUCAAUGUGUCAUUAAUAUUCCUUAAUAUUUUAAUACUAAUUUACAUUAAUAAAAUUUAAAUUAAUUUCUGUUAUUUCUGAGU